AUUGAACGCUGGCGGCGUGCCUAAUACAUGCAAGUCGAGCGCAGGAAACCGUCUGAACCCUUCGGGGGGACGACGGCGGAAUGAGCGGCGGACGGGUGAGUAACACGUAAAGAACCUGCCCAUAGGUCUGGGAUAACCACGAGAAAUCGGGGCUAAUACCGGAUGUGUCAUCGGACCGCAUGGUCCGCUGACGAAAGGCGCUUCGGCGUCGCCCAUGGAUGGCUUUGCGGUGCAUUAGCUAGUUGGUGGGGUAAUGGCCCACCAAGGCGACGAUGCAUAGCCGACCUGAGAGGGUGAUCGGCCACACUGGGACUGAGACACGGCCCAGACUCCUACGGGAGGCAGCAGUAGGGAAUCUUCCACAAUGGACGAAAGUCUGAUGGAGCAACGCCGCGUGAACGAUGAAGGCUUUCGGGUCGUAAAGUUCUGUUGUAAGGGAAGAACAAGUGCCGCAGGCAAUGGCGGCACCUUGACGGUACCUUGCGAGAAAGCCACGGCUAACUACGUGCCAGCAGCCGCCGUAAAAC
rnacentral:rRNA from 1 species